rnacentral:rRNA from 1 species
AGCGAACGCUGGCGGCAGGCCUAACACAUGCAAGUCGAACGAACCUUUCGGGGUUAGUGGCGGACGGGUGAGUAACACGUGGGAACGUGCCUUUAGGUUCGGAAUAACUCAGGGAAACUUGUGCUAAUACCGAAUGUGCCCUUCGGGGGAAAGAUUAAUCGCCUUUAGAGCGGCCCGCGUCUGAUUAGCUAGUUGGUUGAGGUAAUGGCUCACCAAGGCGACGAUCAGUAGCUGGUCGGAGAGGAUGAUCAGCCACAUUGGGACUGAGACACGGCCCAAACUCCUACGGGAGGCAGCAGGGGGGAAUCUUGCGAAAGGGGAGAAAGCCUGACGCAGCCAGGCCGGGGGAAUGAUGAAGGUCUUAGGAUUGAAAAAUUCUUUCACCGGGGACGAUAAUGACGGUACCCGGAGAAGAAGCCCCGGCUAACUUCGUG